CCUACGGGUGGCAGCAGUGAGGAAUAUUGGUCAAUGGACGAGAGUCUGAACCAGCCAAGUAGCGUGAAGGAUGACUGCCCUAUGGGUUGUAAACUUCUUUUAUAUGGGAAUAAAAUGUUCCACGUGUGGGAUUUUGUAUGUACCAUAUGAAUAAGGCUCGGCUAACUCCGUGCCAGCCGCCGCGGUAAUACGGAGGAGCAGAGCGUUAUCCGGAUUUAUUGGGUUUAAAGGGAGAGUAGGUGGAUUGUUAAGUCAGUUGUGAAAGUUUGCGGCUCAACCGUAAAAUUGCAGUUGAAACUGGCAGUCUGGAGUACAGUAGAGGUGGGCGGAAUUCGUGGUGUAGCGGUGAAAUGCUUAGAUAUCACGAAGAACUCCGAUUGCGAAGGCAGCUCACUGGACUGCAACUGACACUGAGGCUCGAAAGUGUGGGUAUCAAACAGGAUUAGAUACCCGUGUAGUC
rnacentral:rRNA from 1 species